CUACGGGAGGCAGCAGUGAGGAAUAUUGGACAAUGGAGGCAACUCUGAUCCAGCCAUGCCGCGUGCAGGAAGACGGCCCUACGGGUUGUAAACUGCUUUUAUACAGGAAGAAACGCCGCUACGUGUAGCGGUUUGACGGUACUGUACGAAUAAGGAUCGGCUAACUCCGUGCCAGCAGCCGCGGUAAUACGGAGGAUCCAAGCGUUAUCCGGAAUCAUUGGGUUUAAAGGGUCCGUAGGCGGUUUUUUAAGUCAGAGGUGAAACCCUGCAGCUCAACUGUAGCAUUGCCUUUGAUACUGAAAGACUUGAGUUAUUGUGAAGUAGUUAGAAUGUGUAGUGUAGCGGUGAAAUGCAUAGAUAUUACACAGAAUACCGAUUGCGAAGGCAGAUUACUAACAAUAUACUGACGCUGAGGGACGAAAGCGUGGGUAGCGAACAGGAUUAGAUACCCCCGUAGUC
rnacentral:rRNA from 1 species